rnacentral:rRNA from 1 species
GACGAACGUUGGCGGCGUGCUUAACACAUGCAAGUCGAACGGAAAGGCCCUGCUUUUGUGGGGUGCUCGAGUGGCGAACGGGUGAGUAACACGUGAGUAACCUGCCCUUGACUUUGGGAUAACUUCAGGAAACUGGGGCUAAUACCGGAUAGGAGCUCCUGCUGCAUGGUGGGGGUUGGAAAGUUUCGGCGGUUGGGGAUGGACUCGCGGCUUAUCAGCUUGUUGGUGGGGUAGUGGCUUACCAAGGCUUUGACGGGUAGCCGGCCUGAGAGGGUGACCGGCCACAUUGGGACUGAGAUACGGCCCAGACUCCUACGGGAGGCAGCAGUGGGGAAUAUUGCACAAUGGGCGGAAGCCUGAUGCAGCAACGCCGCGUGCGGGAUGACGGCCUUCGGGUUGUAAACCGCUUUCGCCUGUGACGAAGCGUGAGUGACGGUAAUGGGUAAAGAAGCACCGGCUAACUACGUGCCAGCAGCCGCGGUGAUACGUAGGGUGCGAGCGUUGUCCGGAUUUAUUGGGCGUAAAGGGCUCGUAGGUGGUUGAUCGCGUCGGAAGUGUAAUCUUGGGGCUUAACCCUGAGCGUGCUUUCGAUACGGGUUGACUUGAGGAUUGUAGGGGAGAAUGGAAUUCCUGGUGGAGCGGUGGAAUGCGCAGAUAUCAGGAGGAACACCAGUGGCGAAGGCGGUUCUCUGGGCCUUUCCUGACGCUGAGGAGCGAAAGCGUGGGGAGCGAACAGGCUUAGAUACCCUGGUAGUCCACGCUGUAAACGGUGGGUACUAGGUGUGGGGUCCAUUCCACGGGUUCCGUGCCGUAGCUAACGCUUUAAGUACCCCGCCUGGGGAGUACGGCCGCAAGGCUAAAACUCAAAGGAAUUGACGGGGCCCCGCACAAGCGGCGGAGCAUGCGGAUUAAUUCGAUGCAACGCGUAGAACCUUACCUGGGUUUGACAUGGAUCGGGAGUGCUCAGAGAUGGGUGUGCCUCUUUUGGGGUCGGUUCACAGGUGGUGCAUGGCUGUCGUCAGCUCGUGUCGUGAGAUGUUGGGUUAAGUCCCGCAACGAGCGCAACCCUUGUUCACUGUUGCCAGCACGUUAUGGUGGGGACUCAGUGGAGACCGCCGGGGUCAACUCGGAGGAAGGUGGGGAUGACGUCAAGUCAUCAUGCCCCUUAUGUCCAGGGCUUCACGCAUGCUACAAUGGCUGGUACAGAGAGUGGCGAGCCUGCGAGGGUGAGCGAAUCUCGGAAAGCCGGUCUCAGUUCGGAUUGGGGUCUGCAACUCGACCUCAUGAAGUCGGAGUCGCUAGUAAUCGCAGAUCAGCAACGCUGCGGUGAAUACGUUCCCGGGGCU